GGGCGGAGUUUCCACAUACGCGUCAUCGUGACUAUUAAAGAUGGCGGGCUAGGAAUAGACCUUUACACUCGUGACACCUGAUCGCUGGCUGCUGUUUCUUCGCUAGAAGCAUACAAGGGAGAUUUAAGAGACAAUUUGUUGUCUUUUGUGGACGCUUUUUUGAGACACGGUGAAAAUAUGACAAAACAAGCUUUGACAUCCAAUCCUCCUGCUCCCCCUCUCCCGACCUCUGACCCCACUGACAUGGUGGGUCUGCAGCUGCGUCACCUAGGAGACCAGCUCUACUGGACAUACUGCCUGCUGAGGGUACUGAUGAGGGAUGACAAGAGACUCGUCAAGUCCGACGGCACCUGACGGCGUGGUGCCUUCACAGGCUGUACAUAGAGGAAAGCCACCUGGAAGAGGCGGAAUUUGAUAAGGGAUGUGAAUAUGAUUGAACACCCUGAUGGAGAAACGGGAUGCGGUCACCAGGCAGGACGUGUGCUGGUCGAGCCAAAAAGAGACACCGGAUUGGAGGCUUCAUGUCAAAGAUGGUGACUGUCUUAGCGAGUGGAUUGCUGUGAAGACAUUUCUUUUCUGAGCGUAUCAUGUGUCGCUUUUCAACGCAUAUGGUCCUGUGAAUUUUUAUUAAUGGGAGGUGCAUUUGCACAUUAUAAUAAAGACAACACUUACAGUUU